rnacentral:rRNA from 1 species
UAUGUAGGGGGCAAGCGUUGUCCGGAUUUAUUGGGCGUAAAGAGCGUGUAGGCGGCCAAGCAGGUCCGCUGUGAAAACUCGAGGCUCAACCUCGAGAGGUCGGUGGAAACCGUUUGGCUAGAGUCCGGAAGAGGAGAGUGGAAUUCCCGGUGUAGCGGUGAAAUGCGCAGAUAUCGGGAAGAACACCCGUGGCGAAGGCGGCUCUCUGGGACGGUACUGACGCUGAGACGCGAAAGCGUGGGGAGCGAACAGG